GGCGAACGCUGGCGGCGUGCUUAACACAUGCAAGUCGAACGGAAAGGCCCUGCUUUUGUGGGGUGCUCGAGUGGCGAACGGGUGAGUAACACGUGAGUAACCUGCCCUUGACUUUGGGAUAACUUCAGGAAACUGGGGCUAAUACCGGAUAGGAGCUCCUGCUGCAUGGUGGGGGUUGGAAAGUUUCGGCGGUUGGGGAUGGACUCGCGGCUUAUCAGCUUGUUGGUGGGGUAGUGGCUUACCAAGGCUUUGACGGGUAGCCGGCCUGAGAGGGUGACCGGCCACAUUGGGACUGAGAUACGGCCCAGACUCCUACGGGAGGCAGCAGUGGGGAAUAUUGCACAAUGGGCGGAAGCCUGAUGCAGCAACGCCGCGUGCGGGAUGACGGCCUUCGGGUUGUAACCGCUUUCGCCUGUGACGAAGCGUGAGUGACGGUAAUGGGUAAAGAAGCACCGGCUAACUACGUG
rnacentral:rRNA from 1 species